rnacentral:tRNA from 1 species
CGGGGUGUGGCGCAGUUCGGUAGCGCGCUUCGUUCGGGACGAAGAGGUCCUCGGUUCAACUCCGAGCACCCCGACCA